CACGUAGGAGGCAAACGUUAUCCGGAUUUACUGGGCGUAAAGAGCUCGUAGGUGGUUUGUCACGUCGUCUGUGAAAUUCCGGGGCUUAACCUCGGGCGUGCAGGCGAUACGGGCAAUACUUGAGUGCUGUAGGGGAGACUGGAAUUCCUGGUGUAGCGGUGAAAUGCGCAGAUAUCAGGAGGAACACCAAUGGCGAAGGCAGGUCUCUGGGCAGUUACUGACGCUGAGGAGCGAAAGCAUGGGUAGCGAACAGGAUUAGAUACCCCCGUAGU
rnacentral:rRNA from 1 species